AGGGGAUUAGCUCAGGGGUAGAGUGUUUAUCUUACACAUAAAAUGUCAGUAGUUCGAAUCUACUAUUCCCUA
rnacentral:tRNA from 1 species